rnacentral:lncRNA from 1 species
UAAUUGCUGGGGUAGUAGAGCAUCGGAUUUCUGAUCAGUUUGCUUCCCAAACAUUUCUUGUAAAUAUGCUAUCUUUUGUAUCACGGACAAUCAAUUCUUAUUGGGGAACGCAGGUAAGAUAUAUUUUCUUAUAGUUAUCAAAAUCAUGCUACCUUGUAAAUAAGAGAGAAUUAUUUUGAAACCAAGGUAGCAUAAUUUCGAUUGAUGUUGAUCAUUCAUCUACAUAUAGUUUAUAAAUUUGACUAGGAUUUCUUAAAUUUUAUUUUUUGGCAAAUUGCUGCAGCAAUGGAUUGACCUCGCACUCUCGACCGGAUUGCAAGUUAGAAAGACCGAGUUACCUGAGUUACCUACAUCAGAUUCUCCAAAUAGAAAGAUCGAGUUACCUGAGUUACCUACAUCAGAUUCUCCAAAUCAAGCUGUAAUCUUAUGCAAUGAAACAGAAGAACCCAACAUCGAUGAGAUUAAAAGUGAAUGAGGUGAAAUUCCCCUUGUGACAUAUUUUUGUAAUUUGUAUUUUUUUUUUCUUUCUUGAAGAGCUAGUAAAUAGGCACAAAGGAAUAGGGAUUGGGAUUUUUUUCAUGAUAACAAUACAAUUCCUUUCAUAGCUUAAUUGUAUACUUCUACUUUAUAUAUAUAUAUAUUCCCACAUCCCAAAUUCAUCAAUGUAAUAUAACGAGUAUUUAUUUUCA